rnacentral:lncRNA from 1 species
CAGUACUGGCCUCCUCCUUCCCUCCCCUCCUCCAUGCUCCUGCCAAACCCUGCUGAUCUAUUCCUAUAAAAGCAGCCAUGUGGACCAACUCAGGGCCAUAAUCUCAUGGCUUGAAAGAAAUCAGGCUUCAAGCAAAAAAGAAGCUGUACACUAAGGGACAUUCUUCCCUCUCCGUGUUACUCAAGAACAAUUUCCCAGAAACUUCCUUCUCCCCUAGGAAAUCUCUCCCCACAAGGAUGCAAAAGAGGACUACAACCAGUAAAAAAAAGACAGAGCAGAAUGGAGGAAGCAAUGAUCCCACACACCUGUACAGCA